AGGGAUGUAGCUCAAAUAGUAGAGCGCUCGCUUUGCAUGCAAGAGGCAUGGGGUUUGAUCCCUCGCAUCUCUA
rfam:Ipomoea nil DNA, scaffold: scaffold0895, cultivar: Tokyo-kokei standard.